rnacentral:lncRNA from 1 species
AUGGAGGUUAAUAGCUCGGAUUAUGAGCUCGGCGCCACUGAAACUGCGGCCGAUGACCUUUAUGAUCCAGAACCAAUCGCUCAAAAUGAGUUCGUCAACCAGACUGAUUUCAAUCAAACGUCACCGAUCUACUCCAUUGGGACCGACUUUCUCUCAGAAUGGAAACUGCGGAGGGAGAAAGACAGGCUGUGUCGAUUUACAUUCCAAAGGCUGUACACGGAGCAGUGCCAGCCCGCCUACAACCUGUCCGACAUCGCAUCCGUUUGGGACAAUUACCAGGGGUACUCCUCCUGGGGCAACGAUGACUCGGUUCUAUCCGAUUAUGAUCAAGGCCUGGCAAACUUUUAUCAGCUAUCGUCAACGAUGCUUGCAGCCAACAACACGACACUCUUGAAUUCAAGUGAGUCACUCCUAAUCUUACCUACAUAUAAAUACUUUUUUCCCACUUUAUAAGCAACAAUCCGUAUUAUAGUACUUCAUUUUUGAAAAAAUGAAUAAAGGUUUAGUUAAGAUACAUAUAAGUAUCUUGAAAACUAUUAAAGAGGAGGAGUAUCGAUAAGGACCAUUUUUGGGGCCACCCUAGCGAAAUAUUAUUCCUCAAUUCUACGAUUUUUUGCUCAAUGAAGGUCUAUCUUCUACAGAAUGCAUAAUAAUUUUGUCACUUCUGGUAUCUUUCCGGGUCUAAUACCGGCCUAGACUCAGGUCAAAAGGCCGAUUUUGGCACAAAGAAGUGGAUUUUUCAGCAAUUGACCGCAAACCCGGAAUUAUCAUUUUUCGUCAGAACCGGCCUUUAGACCCAUGUAUAGGCCAGUAUUAGACACGAAAAUGACAAAAUCACGAUUCAAUCCGUAAAAAACAGACCUUUAUGAGAAAAAAUCGCAGAGUUGCAGAAAUUCAUGGUGUGUUCAAAAACGACACUUGUCGAUAACCCCCUUUGUGUUGGUUUAAAUGGCCAAAGUGCGAGACCGUGUACUUCUGUUGCGGCAUUUCAAAAUUUUCGCUCCUAGUUUAUUUUUUCGAGAAGACACAAGCUAACUUAAUGGCUUGAAAUUUACAAGAAGUAUUCUGCUGGCAAGGAAGAGAAAUCAAGGACGUUUUCAAGAAAUUACGUUAGAUAGUUUUCCGAAGAAAAAAUUAAGUAUGGAAGGAAGUCUGCUACGUCGCAAACGGAAAAAUGCGAUUUCACACUUAAGCCAUCGAAAUGCUAACCUAAUUCUGAGUUAUUUUUGUAAACACUAAGACGCCAAUGCCUCAGAACUGUCACAUCUGAGGAGUAUAAGAAUCUCAUGAUGUCACCCGCACGGAAGAGUGAAAUAGUUGAAGCACGAUUAGGAAUCGCGUGCGGAGGGACGAAAGCCCAAAUUGAAAGCUCCAGAGUUGCGG